AACGAACGCUGGCGGCAGGCCUAACACAUGCAAGUCGAGCGAGGACUUCGGUUCUAGCGGCGGACGGGUGAGUAACGCGUGGGAAUGUUCCCUUCUCUACGGAAUAGCCCUGGGAAACUGGGAGUAAUACCGUAUACGCCCUAUUGGGGAAAGAUUUAUCGGAGAAGGAUCAGCCCGCGUUGGAUUAGGUAGUUGGUGGGGUAAUGGCAUACCAAGCCGACGAUCCAUAGCUGGUUUGAGAGGAUGAUCAGCCACACUGGGACUGAGACACGGCCCAGACUCCUACGGGAGGCAGCAGUGGGGAAUCUUAGACAAUGGGGGCAACCCUGAUCUAGCCAUGCCGCGUGAGUGAUGAAGGCCUUAGGGUUGUAAAGCUCUUUCAGCUGGGAAGAUAAUGACGGUACCAGCAGAAGAAGCCACGGCUAACUCCGUG
rnacentral:rRNA from 1 species